ACCUUUCAAAUAGUAAAUAACCUCUCCACCAUCACCUUGUAGUCUGCGGGCAAGAAUUCUACGCUGCGGUUUCUGGAGACCGGCGUUGCGUCCACCACCAACAUCCACCGUUUCUCCAAAACGCGUGUGCAGCUAUUGCCCUUGCCGCCCUUUUACCGUAAAAGCUAGACUCUUUGCCAUGGCGAGGAUUUUGCGGCACCCUCGGGUUUUCUCAAGCAGGAAAUCGGCGCCAUACACGCUUGUAUUUACCGUUCUCCUGCUGCUUUCGGUAGUGCUACUCAUGUUGCUAGGUCUAGGUAUCUUUUCCCUUCCGAUCGACUCUAAUGACUCCCCCAAAGGCAUCCGCCGCGCCGAUACAGAAAUUUCCGAUACUGAUGGGACGACGAAGAGAGGAAAGCAGUGGACGGAGUUACUCUCUUGGGAGCCCAGGGCUUUUAUAUACCAUAACUUUCUUUCAAAAGAGGAAUGUGAACAUCUUAUAGAAUUAGCGAAGCCUCAUAUGGCGAAGUCUACCGUUGUUGAUAGUACCACUGGCAAAAGUAAAGAUAGCAGGGUGAGAACCAGCUCUGGAAUGUUCCUUUCAAGGGGGAAAGAUCAAAUUAUUAAGGCAAUUGAGAAAAGAAUAGCUGAUUUUACCUUCAUUCCAGUGGAACAUGGGGAGGGGCUUCAAAUUCUACAUUAUGAAGUAGGGCAGAAAUAUGAACCUCACUUUGACUAUUUUCUUGACGAAUUCAAUACUAAAAAUGGCGGCCAAAGAAUUGCUACUCUCCUCAUGUACCUUUCAGAUGUUGAAGAGGGUGGCGAGACUGUGUUCCCUGCCGCAAAAAUGAACAGCAGUGCUUUACCGUGGUACAAUGAAUUAUCAGAAUGUGGAAAGAAGGGCCUUUCUUUUCGACCUAAAAUGGGAGAUGCUUUACUUUUCUGGAGCAUGAAGCCUGAUGCAACUCUCGAUCCAUCCAGUUUACAUGGUGGAUGCCCAGUGAUUAAAGGGAAUAAAUGGUCCUCUACCAAAUGGAUGCAUGUUAAUGAAUAUAAAGUUUAGCAAUUUCCCCUAAAGGUCUUUGAAGAGGUUCCAAUUGUCUCCAACAGCCUCUCAAAAUGGCUAUCAAUUAUCUCCUGGCAUUUUUAUGUAUGCGGGCAUUGACUCCAUGGGGUUGAAUAUAAGUACGAAGAGUUUUCCUCUUUAGAAACAACAAGCUUGGUGCUUGGGUUUUGUCCGUCUAACAAAAUAAACUAUGUACUUAACAACAUUUUUUACAAAGGUUGAGUGGCAAAACACUUCUCUCUGUAGAGCAUAAUGUUGUACUAGAUUAGAUUGCUCGUUGACAUAUUAUUAUUAUUUUUUUGUAUACUUUGACUGUUCAUGGUAACCUGCAUAUCAUGCAAUAUGAAUUAUGUUUGAGCACAUAUAUUCUUGUGACAUGCUAUAUAGAAUUUGCAGGCUUUG